UACGGAGGGGGCUAGCGUUGUUCGGAAUUACUGGGCGUAAAGCGCGCGUAGGCGGACCUGCAAGUCGGGGGUGAAAGCCCGAGGCUCAACCUCGGAACUGCCUUCGAUACUGCGGGUCUCGAGUCCGGGAGAGGUGAGUGGAAUUCCUAGUGUAGAGGUGAAAUUCGUAGAUAUUAGGAAGAACACCAGUGGCGAAGGCGGAUCUCUGGGCCGAUACUGACGCUGAGGAGCGAAAGCGUGGGGAGCGAAACAGG
rnacentral:rRNA from 1 species